rnacentral:misc_RNA from 1 species
UCUUUCACCUUUUCUAAUGCCUGUUUGGGUGGUUGCCAGUAAACAACCCCCUGGGCCAAAGACAUUGCAUUUUUAGCUCCUCGGACCAAUUCCUGUAUCUGAACCAUGACGGGCAUCUCAGUCUCCAAAGCCCUCCUGGCAAGCUUUCCAUAGGAACCCAUCUCUGUUUUCCCUUCAACACAAAAAUCCGCCCAAAUCUCUCUCACAAAUCUCUGAGAUAAGCUGUAAUUUAAACCCACUUCUCCUUGACCCACCUGUCAAAAAGCCUCAAGAUGCCUCCCAAAUUUAACAAACUUAUGCAAGAAGUGGUGAAGAAAGCAGGGUUUUGCUUAUUAAGGUUAACAUACGAGUUAGACAAAUAUCAAAAAUCCCCACCAAGCAGACUACCAUUUUGUACAAUUCCCAUUAAGGUAUAAGAUAAGUUGGACACGUCUCUCUUCUUCUUGUAUGUUACUCAAGCAGAAAGGGCCAAAAUGCGUAAUUGCCUGUAAUUUUUUUUAUUUCUUUUUCCUUGUCUGUUCUUUACUUUUGCUUUUGUCUCUUUUCAAUUCGAAGG